UGCUUACAAUCUUUAUUGAAGUCAUACAAAAGUUGCCAAAAAGUGAAAAAAUACACUAUAUACAAAACCAUUUUCCUUUGAAGGAGAGGAGUGUCCAAAGCUAAAGAAUUAUCAUACUGUGCUUUCAACUGCAGCCCCUGGUUCUGCUUGUGGCCUUUUCUCUGUCUCCUCUUCCAUUUUUUCUGCAACCUCAUUUCCACUGGGGGCAGCAUCACCACCACCACCAUUGACAGCCGGUUCUGGUUUAGAUUUCUUAGCUUCAUUGUCUCCCUGGUGGGUCUCCUCCUCUGGUUUCCUCUUUUUCCUGACCAGGUGAGAGAUGUCUGUAACGCACUGAGAUGCUCCAUCAGCUGCUUUUCUUACUGGAAUUGUAGAAACAGAGCCGCUGCCUUCACUUUGUGCAAAACCAGAUGUAGUUCCAACCAGAGUUGCUUUCAAUGCCAGCUCAGCUACCCUUGCACUCUUUUGAGACUCCUUUGAAUCCUCUAUCUUUUCUUUGAUUUCAGGGAGAAGUCCCU
rnacentral:lncRNA from 1 species